GCGGAAGUAGUUCAGUGGUAGAAUACAACCUUGCCAAGGUUGGGGUCGCGGGUUCGAAUCCCGUCUUCCACU
rnacentral:tRNA from 1 species